rnacentral:lncRNA from 1 species
CACAAGCCUCCUUGCUUUGUGGUCUUUGUUCCUUUUAUCUGUUGACUGCCAGGAGCUCGCCUGUUUAGGUACAUCACAGGUUCUCACUGACUGACUAUGCCCGAAUUGGGUCGGGAUUGGUCAAGCUUGGUUUUGGGCAAUAGCACCCCACCUGACGUCCCCAAGGUCUCCUGACCCCCGCGACAUAUCUCCAGGUACCACUCUGUGGUC